GUAGCAUAAUCAUUUGGUUUUUAAUUGAGGUCUGGAAUGAAAGGUCAAACAAGUAUUUUGUUUCUUGGCUUAAGAGGGUUAAUUUAAAGUUUAAGUAAUAAUUCUUAAAGCUUUGAGGGACGACAAGACCCUGAAAGCUUUAAUUUUAAGAUUAUAUUUAUAUUUUUAAAAAAAUAUUUUUUUAAAAAUAUUGGUUGGGGUAACAUUUUUAUAUUAAUUAGUAAUUAAAAUAUACGGUAAGUAUAAAAAUAUCCUUGUUAUUAGGAUAAUUAUUAUAAGUUACUUCAGGGGUAACAGGGUGAUUAUUUUAAGGAGAUCUUAUCUACAAAAUUGAUUGCUACCUCGAUGUUGAAUUAAGAAUUCAGUGUGACGCAGAAGGCACAUGAGAAGGUUUGUUCAACCUUUUAUAUCUU
rnacentral:rRNA from 1 species